AGCUACUAAACCAAUAAAGCACAAUCAGCUCCCCUCGCUAGGAAGUGACAAAUGCGCCUUAGGGCACCGUAUCGAUGAUGCGCGGAUCACGGUCUCUAACGGCGCACAGCGGGGCCAUUAUCGUGUGUUGUCACCGUGUGCCAUUAAAAGGACUUUAAUCUGCCGAUCGCCGCCGCGAUACGCGGCUCCUGCCAGGGAUCUGCUGACUAACAGGCCGGGACGCUGCGAAACCCCCCAGCCCCCGGGGUAGCCUGAAAAACACGGCCCGGCUCCCCCGUCAGUCAAUCGCGGCAACUCAAUUAAUGCAUCUGGGUCAGGAAAAUGGUUUGCGGGAGCCUGAGCCCGGUUACGAAACGCAGAGAUACCGCGGCGGGUACCGCGGGCGGCGGCGGAGGGCAGCGCCCGCUGCGCCCAGGUGCAGCCAUCCCCUUGUGUGACAGAUGCAGGCUCCUGACUGACGUGUCUGCAUGAUGUGUGGUAUUUUCAGCAUGGAGUAAGAGACUGGUCAGCCUGGCCACCUGCAAGGCUCUGCCUGGCCUUUUACUUCAUCUCUGACAGCAGCCACCAGCUGGCCACCCACCCGAGAUGGACUCAGCUCAAGAAAUGCAAGAAGCAUACGGAGCUUGUUCACAAAUCCUCCCUGGCACUGGGAAAAAAGCACCAUAUGCUCGAGCAGCCGGAGCAAAAGGACGAGUUCAAGGCAAAGGGAGUCAAGAGCAGAAGGGCAAGGGAGGUACACAGGGAAGGCACCAGGACAUCUUACUUCAUGAUUCCCCCCCUUCCUCCUUAUGGCCACUGGUGGGUAACACCAGGGGAUGCUUCUCUGACCACUUUCUGAUAUCAUGCCCCUAAGGUGGUUACUCCUCAUAGGCAUCUUUGCCUCUGUUACCUCUUUUGGAUAUCAUCACUUCCCUCCUCUUUGCCUUAGUCUCUCCUAGCCUCUUGCUGUGUUAGCUGCCUGCUCAGCCCAGUGUGCAGAUGAAACCAACAGCAGUAUCAGCAACAAGCACUGGGGGCAGGGAGAUCAGGUCCUGUCCGUGUGUCAUUGUCCCCAGCACAGAGCAUGGCAGGCAAGACCCCAUCCCACUGUCACUGAUGCAUAAGUCACAAAGGUCACUUGUAUCACUGGUCUGUCACACUUGUUGGCUGUCUUGCUGGCUCAGACUGUAGAUAUUCAGAGUUUUAAUUAACAUUGAAACAAGUAGAGUUUUCUGUUUUAAACAUGUACAGUUGAGGCUGAUAAAGUUUUGCAUUAGUUUAUUGUUUUGUGUGAGCUUAUUGCCUUUGAAAUGUGUGAUUUCCAACAUGUAUAGUUGAGGCUGAUAAAGUUUUGUAUCACUUUAUUGCCUUUGAAAUGUGUGACUUCCGUGUUUGUCCUGAAUUUUAUCUCUUUGUUAGCAUUUCUUCUUUUCCUGGACAACCAACAGAAGAAUACUUGUAUUAGGAAUUGAAAUAAAUGGUCCAUUGAGUUACUUGAAAUACCUUUUUUUAUGAUGUAAAGUCACUUAUAUUCAACACUUGAUCUCAUAUGGCAAAAGAAAACAUAAAAAAAGGGCAGCAUAAACAGGGGCACUACAACCCACAGUGAAAAUGAUCUCUGAAGAACCCCCUACACUGUCCAGCUCCUCCUGGGGCUUCUGCCCCGGUCAAGAGUCACAGUACUGUACCAGAACUGUAUUCCAUGUGUCCCAUGUGUUCCUGCCAUCAUGCUGGCCUCAUGGAUUAGGGAUGCAAAACAUGCCUUCAGUCCCUGGGAAUCACUGCAGGCGUCCCAGUGACACUUGUGUUGAAUGUCCCCUCCAGGGCAGGAGAACUCAGCAAGUCUCUUAUUCAUCCCUUUGAUGCCUGAGAACCUGCAGGAUUUAGAAAAUGAAGUUUCUCUGACUCUUCUCUUUUUUCCAUUUCAGUGUUUUCCUUCCACCUGGCAUUUUUCAGUCCUCUCAGAGGCCCAGCCCAGCCUGCAGACCUGUGCAGGAUCUUUCAUCCCACAGACCACCUUUGGGGAGGUUGUCACGCAGCAGCUGCACAAUAUACGUAAGUAAAGAAGCUACGAGGACUGCACGAGUCACACAAAACCAAACUAAAUUAUAUACUGUUUUUUACUAGGUUCUGAUGACUUUAGAAGCACAGCAAGGGCCUCUGUAAUACUUAUGAAUUACUGACACGGUAUUAUUUCUGUGCAGGAGCAGGACAAAAUAGUGGGUGCACUAC